rnacentral:rRNA from 1 species
UACGUAGGUGGCAAGCGUUGUCCGGAUUUAUUGGGUUUAAAGGGUGCGUAGGCGACUUGAUAAGUCAGUGGUCAAAUCAUGUGGCUUAACCAUACUUCGCCAUUGAUACUGUUAGGCUAGAAUGCGGGUGAGGAUGCAGGAAUGAGUGGUGUAGCGGUGAAAUGCAUAGAUAUCACUCAGAACACCGAUCGCGAAGGCAGGCAUCUGGUCCGCUAUUGACGCUGAGGCACGAAAGUGUGGGGAGCAAACAGG